GAUGAACGCUGGCGGCGUGCCUAAUACAUGCAAGUCGAGCGAAUGGAUUAAGAGCUGGCUCUUAUGAAGUUAGCGGCGGACGGGUGAGUAACACGUGGGUAACCUGCCCAUAAGACUGGGAUAACUCCGGGAAACCGGGGCUAAUACCGGAUAACAUUUUGAACCGCAUGGUUCGAAAUUGAAAGGCGGCUUCGGCUGUCUCUUAUGGAUGGACCCGCGUCGCAUUAGCUAGUUGGUGAGGUAACGGCUCACCAAGGCAACGAUGCGUAGCCGACCUGAGAGGGUGACCGGCCACACUGGGACUGAGACACGGCCCAGACUCCUACGGGAGGCAGCAGUAGGGAAUCUUCCGCAAUGGACGAAAGUCUGACGGAGCAACGCCGCGUGAGUGAUGAAGGCUUUCGGGUCGUAAAACUCUGUUGUUAGGGAAGAACAAGUGCUAGUUGAAUAAGCUGGCACCUUGACGGUACCUAACCAGAAAGCCACGGCUAACUACGUGCCAGCCGCCGCUGUAA
rnacentral:rRNA from 1 species